GACGAACGCUGGCGGCGUGCUUAACACAUGCAAGUCGAACGGAAAGGCCCUGCUUUUGUGGGGUGCUCGAGUGGCGAACGGGUGAGUAACACGUGAGUAACCUGCCCUUGACUUUGGGAUAACUUCAGGAAACUGGGGCUAAUACCGGAUAGGAGCUCCUGCUGCAUGGUGGGGGUUGGAAAGUUUCGGCGGUUGGGGAUGGACUCGCGGCUUAUCAGCUUGUUGGUGGGGUAGUGGCUUACCAAGGCUUUGACGGGUAGCCGGCCUGAGAGGGUGACCGGGCACAUUGGGACUGAGAUACGGACCAGAAUCCUACGGGAGGCAGCAGUGGGGAAUAUUGCACAGUGGGCGGAAGCCUGAUGCAGCAACGCCGCGUGCGGGAUGACGGCCUUCGGGUUGUAAACCGCUUUCGCCUGUGACGAAGCGUGAGUGACGGUAAUGGGUAAAGAAGCACCGGCUAACUACGUG
rnacentral:rRNA from 1 species